rnacentral:rRNA from 1 species
UACGGAGGGGACUAGCGUUGCUCGGAAUCACUGGGCGUAAAGGGUGCGUAGGCGGGUCUUUAAGUCAGGGGUGAAAUCCUGGAGCUCAACUCCAGAACUGCCUUUGAUACUGAAGAUCUUGAGUUCGGGAGAGGUGAGUGGAACUGCGAGUGUAGAGGUGAAAUUCGUAGAUAUUCGCAAGAACACCAGUGGCGAAGGCGGCUCACUGGCCCGAUACUGACGCUGAGGCACGAAAGCGUGGGGAGCAAACAGG